CAGUUGUCCUUGCGUCAUUCGGCAACGCUCUCUUCUGGGGUGAAUAUGGAAGGUUGCAGGGCCUGAAACCCAUUCGGAUGUCAAACGAAUGGGGCAUCUUGAGCCCUAUCCUUCAGCUCGCGGCCUACCACUGGCUCAAGCGGAACGACAUUCCAGCGAUAUACAGGGAGGAAAUACCCCAGCUUUUCCACCAGUUCACCGAGACCUUGAAGUACGGAUACACUCUACUCCGUAGGGACGAGGAGGAGAAGGAAGACGAUUAGCGCCGAAGAAGUGAAUUAGAGAUCGAGGGUCAAGAGGAAGGAAGAAAACGUUGAAGCGUUCAGAGUUCAGACUGGAAGUAUUAGGAUGAGAGAUGUUACAACAAUGCUUUUAU